rnacentral:rRNA from 1 species
AGAGUUUGAUCAUGGCUCAGAUUGAACGCUGGCGGCAGGCCUAACACAUGCAAGUCGAGCGGAUGACGGGAGCUUGCUCCUUGAUUCAGCGGCGGACGGGUGAGUAAUGCCUAGGAAUCUGCCUGGUAGUGGGGGGCAACGUUUCGAAAGGAACGCUAAUACCGCAUACGUCCUACGGGAGAAAGCAGGGGACCUUCGGGCCUUGCGCUAUCAGAUGAGCCUAGGUCGGAUUAGCUAGUUGGUGGGGUAAUGGCUCACCAAGGCGACGAUCCGUAACUGGUCUGAGAGGAUGAUCAGUCACACUGGAACUGAGACACGGUCCAGACUCCUACGGGAGGCAGCAGUGGGGAAUAUUGGACAAUGGGCGAAAGCCUGAUCCAGCCAUGCCGCGUGUGUGAAGAAGGUCUUCGGAUUGUAAAGCACUUUAAGUUGGGAGGAAGGGCAGUAAGCUAAUACCUUGCUGUCUUGACGUUACCGACAGAAUAAGCACCGGCUAACUCUGUGCCAGCAGCCGCGGUAAUACAGAGGGUGCAAGCGUUAAUCGGAAUUACUGGGCGUAAAGCGCGCGUAGGUGGUUUGUUAAGUUGGAUGUGAAAGCCCCGGGCUCAACCUGGGAACUGCAUCCAAAACUGGCAAGCUAGAGUACGGUAGAGGGUGGUGGAAUUUCCUGUGUAGCGGUGAAAUGCGUAGAUAUAGGAAGGAACACCAGUGGCGAAGGCGACCACCUGGACUGAUACUGACACUGAGGUGCGAAGGCGUGGGGAGCAAA